rnacentral:rRNA from 1 species
CCUACGGGAGGCAGCAGUGAGGAAUCUUGGUCAAUGGACGAGAGUCUGAACCAGCCAAGUAGCGUGAAGGAUGACUGCCCUAUGGGUUGUAAACUUCUUUUAUAUGGGAAUAAAAUGUUCCACGUGUGGGAUUUUGUAUGUACCAUAUGAAUAAGGAUCGGCUAACUCCGUGCCAGCAGCCGCGGUAAUACGGAGGAUCCGAGCGUUGUCCGGAUUUAUUGGGUUUAAAGGGCGCGUAGGUGGAUUGUUAAGUCAGUUGUGAAAGUUUGCGGCUCAACCGUAAAAUUGCAGUUGAAACUGGGAGUCUUGAGUACAGUAGAGGUGGGCGGAAUUCGUGGUGUAGCGGUGAAAUGCUUAGAUAUCACGAAGAACUCCGAUUGCGAAGGCAGCUCACUGGACUGCAACUGACACUGAGGCUCGAAAGUGUGGGUAUCAAACAGGAUUAGAUACCCCUGUAGUC